AACGAACGCUGGCGGCAUGCCUAACACAUGCAAGUCGAACGAGACCUUCGGGUCUAGUGGCGCACGGGUGCGUAACGCGUGGGAACCUGCCCUUAGGUUCGGAAUAACUCCCCGAAAGGGGUGCUAAUACCGGAUAAUGUCUUCGGACCAAAGAUUUAUCGCCUUUGGAUGGGCCCGCGUUGGAUUAGCUAGUUGGUAGGGUAAAAGCCUACCAAGGCGACGAUCCAUAGCUGGUCUGAGAGGAUGAUCAGCCACACUGGGACUGAGACACGGCCCAGAUUCCUACGGGAGGAAGCAGUGGGGAAUAUUGGACAAUGGGCGAAAGCCUGAUCCAGCAAUGCCGCGUGAGUGAUGAAGGCCUUAGGGUUGUAAAGCUCUUUUACCCGGGAUGAUAAUGACAGUACCGGGAGAAUAAGCUCCGGCUAACUCCGUG
rnacentral:rRNA from 1 species